CUCUUCUUUGUGGAGAUACUGAGCAGUCGAGAUGUAGUAGGCAAAGGAGUUGCAGAUCCAGCAUUUUCCCGAAUACCUGAGUUGGAGUCGCAACACCCAAGAAGGAAAAGGAGCAAGGCCUUCAGUUGUCUCUGGAAAGAACAUCCAUGCAGAAGAACCAAUAGUGCUGAGAAGCAAGAAAGUAUGUGGAAUGUUCAAGGGCAGAUAAGGAGACAAAGGUAGUCAAGGCAGCUUUCUUACACAACCCAGCUGAAACAACAGUACCUCCCAGUCACUUCUCGGUUUCAGAUGAGUUCAUGGCACUCUGGGGAAUAAGGACUUCCUGGAAAUGGAAAAUUUGAUGGAUAUAUAAACAUCUCUUCCUGGAGGCUGAAGGGAGCAGGGGUCAAGGUUUGACAUCUGGCCACUUUUGCCUACCUCUCCUAGCCACACAGUGCAAGUUGUAUGGAGGAAGGGUUUACUGCCUCACGUUAUCUGGUUAUCUGCAUCUCUCCUGUGUGUACGUAUGUAUUCAGACUGUGGGGAACAGGGAAACAAGACCUUGAUGAGGAAAGCAUGGAGGAUAGUUGUAGUACGAAUAAAAAAAAAAAAAAAAAACCAGAGACAGAUAUUGGGGUUCAAGCUUCAAGCUGAAGAUCAGAGAAGCAAAGCAGCCAAGCCAAUAGUUCUUACCUCUACCCACCUGAACUGGCAAUCCUGUCGUCAUGAACCCUCAGAAGCAAAAGCCUUUCACCAAGCCUCAGACUGCUGCCUCUCCUUAGUGUGUCUGGAGAAUGAAUGUCUCCUUCAUUUCUAAAUGUCCU
rnacentral:lncRNA from 1 species